rnacentral:lncRNA from 1 species
AGUUCUGAACGUUUUCCCUUGUGCUACUUUUCUGCAAAACCUCCAAACUUCUUUUUAAUUUAUAUUCCACUUUUUCGAAAGAUUCUUCUUUCCCUAGACCUUAAAUGUGUUCGACUCGUGCUAAUUAUGUGUUCUUCUUUAGAGGGAUAUUUGAGCCAUUUACAUGCUUAUUUGAUUCCCUUUAUGUGCAAAUCCCACUUGUUCUUAAAUGACGUUUAGAAUUUUAACCUUUGAACCUAUAGGUUUAGCCUAGUUCCUACCUUGUUGGAAUAGUGAUCCUAAAUUCCCUCUAGGAGCUAUAGGAUGGGACGGGUAAUAGCAUGCAAUAAGUAUUCGUGACCAAUCCACACGCUUACUCCGAGGUGGGAAGGGUAGAAUAUGGAGAUGAUGACGAUGCGAUAAUAUCAUAAAGUGACCGCUCUUUGGGAAUAUAUGCUGGAUAUUGUAUCGAAUGAUUAUAGUCAAACCUAAGACCCACCUUUUCUUUGCAUGCUUUAUUUAUUUAAAGGUUUUUCCAAAGUAAUGCUCUUUUUACAAAUCUAUUCUCCCUUCUAUUUUAUUUAACUUAUACCUUUCUCUUUUUCAAAAAUCCUAGGUUGUUCAAAUGUUUAUAUGUGAAUCUUAUAUGUUUACUUGCUUCAUCUCUUCAUAAGGUCACAUUAGCACGGUCGGGAACCACACUAGUGGAUCUUGAGAGGUGCCUAAUACCUUCCCUCGAGAUAAUCUCAAGCCCUUACCCGAACUCUGGUUUUCUUUCAAAACACCCCUCUAAUCUUUAAAAGUGUCCUAAUGCACUAUAAUCAUUAUGUGGCGACUCUUCAAAUUCCAUAACCAAUUACCAAACGGGAAUGAGAAUUGUUUUUCCCGUAAUGUCGUAACACCCGAUUUUGCUUUUGAAAAAGGGGUCGUCGAUAGCGCAUUAUAUUUGACAGUUUUGGUGAGAAAUGAGAGUAAAAGCACGAAGGGUGGUGCCGUACAGUUGUUGAUUCACUGGUUUUCUCUAUUUAUUAUUAUAUAUGUCGUUCCAUUUCUUAUUUGUUUAAGAUAUAAUUGAACUGUUACACCCCCAGCAUGUCCCUUCCCCAUUAUCUGCUUAAAUUCUUGUUCUCUUUCUGUUAUUGCACAUAUAUCUGUACAAGUUGAUUGUGGUAGGUCCGGUUUAGCCUCGNNNNNNNNNNNNNNNNNNNNNNNNNNNNNNNNNNNNNNNNNNNNNNNNNNNNNNNNNNNNNNNNNNNNNNNNNNNNNNNNNNNNNNNNNNNNNNCACUACCUCGCCGAGGUUAGGCCGGGCACUUACCAGCACAUAGGGUCGGUUGUGCUGAUACUACACUUCUGUGCCUUUUUGUGCACAGGUCAGGACACAAGCUACAGACCGCAGCAGUAGUUAGGGGGCGAUCCUUCUGUCUAGAGACUUUGAGGUAGUUCGCUGGCGUUCGCGGGCCCUGAGUCUCCUCUAUCUUUUCCAGUUUGUUUUAUUGUAUCAAAACGGAAUUGUUAGGUAUUUCUAUCAGACUGUUGCCUUUAGUACUCUUUUAGUCGCCCGUGAGUAGUGACACCAAAUACUGGGUAGAGGCAUGUUAUUAAUUUCCGCACUUUAUCUUUGUUAUUGUUUUUAAAAGUUAUCCGUGUGAUUUUUGUUUAAUUAAUUAAGUAUGUAUAUUGAUUUAGAUUAGGUUUAUUGUGAAAAUGAUUAAAAGGGUUGGCUUGCCUAGCUUCGACAUUAGGCGCCAUCACGACUCCCGAUGGUGGAAAAAUUCGGGUCGUGAAAAAUUCGGUGACUUGGGACACCAUAAAUCUCCCAAGGGGCGACUCUAAAUAAUUAAUAAAUAAAUCCCGCUCCGAUUGUCCUUUAAUUGAAAAAAUUCAUUUACGCCCAUUUGGCGGGUGUAGGUGAAAAAGUAGGUGUGACUGCUCUGGCGACUCUGCUUGGAAAAAGAACCCAGAAUGUUUUGUUCAGGGUUUGGAAUUCGAGCUUAGAUAAAUUAUUGUAUUUGGCUAUAUUUGAUUUUCCUAUAUAUUUCAUGCUUAAUGUGCUAAAUGUUACCUCUUUGAUAUUUUUUGAACUGUAUAUAAACUGUGCCAACACCCUUCUCUCCUCACCUCUCGGGAUGUGCUUUCUGGUUGAGACUCCCUAUUCUAUUAGUAUCAUACCCUGAAAUAAGAAAGAGACUCGGAUAAGUUACUAAGCCAGAUGGCCUUUUGGUUCCCGGAAAGUUUCCCCCUCCUCAACUCGAGUUGUCCGCUCGGGUACACGGUCUAGAACACCGACCCAGGUUUUGAACAUAGAAUAACGUGACUUCAUGCCGCAUCCCUAGUAGGAACGUUUAUUUGCAUCAUGUUGCAUCUGAAUUAGAGGACUCAACACAAGGUUUGGGUCCGUCUAGGACUAGCAACCUGAAAUGAAAAGACCAUCCUACUGCAUCUUAUUUGCUUCCCUUGCAUUUAUUUGUCUCGGGCCUGCAUCUGACAAGUGUUAGAAUAUCGGGAAUAUUGUAAAAAUGAGAAAAAGAGAAAAAGAGAAGAAAUAAUAGUGUAGAGAGUUAAUUGCCUUUUUUAUAAAAAAACCCAAUGCCCAAGUACUGUCGAACCUCUGCCGAAAUUUUGAGAAAAUAAAAAAAAAGGAAAAGUUUUUAUUUUGUUUUACUAAAAAGCAAAGAAAAGAUAGAAAAAAUAGUUUUUUAUUUUUGGAAAGUUGUUGAAAAAAAAAUGAAAAGGAGUCUUUAUUUUAGUUCGGAAAAAUAGGUUGUUUUAUUGUGUGUUAAAAAUUUUAAAAAAAGGGAAAAAAGAGUCGUUAUUUUGUCUUGUUUCAAAAAUAGAAAAGGAAAGUAGUUUUUUUGCCUUGAAAAAUAAAAAUGGAAAGAGCCGUGCUAUGAAAGUGGUUUUGUUAUUUGUUUUUGAAAUACCCAAAAAAGGAAAAUCAAAAAGAGUCUUGUUUUUAAAAUAGUUUUUUUCAUGAAAUGCCAAAAAUGAAAAUAAAAAAGAGUCUUAUUUUAAAAGGGUUUGCUUAAUUUUCCCGAACUACGCAGGUUUUAUUCUCACCGGAUUUGAGUUACGUAGGAAGCCUUCAUCAGGUCCAACCUCUCCUGUACAAAAAAUAGCCCAAAAAAUGUCAAAAAUUUAAUUUUUGUCAUAAAUAAACUAGGCUAUGCCGUUGUUGUCAAAAAUAGCCAAAUAUUCCCAAACGGGGCGCCGGAAGGCUGACUUUGCAUAAAUAGCCACCUUUUGUCAAGUUUUGAUUUUUAACCCUCACAAUCUUAAAAUCUUCAUCCCCGAGGCGCUGAAAGGCCAUGUUUGCAUCAUCGGGUAAUUUACUUUAAUUUUUUUUUUAAAACAAACAAGAAAAGAAUAGUAAAUAAAUCGGGUGAUGCCGUUCCUGUCAAAAAUAGCCAAAUGUUCCCAAACGGGACACCAGAAGGCUGACUUUGCAUGAACAAUCACCUUUGGUCAUAUUUUGAUUUUUGACCCUCACAACCUUAAAAUCUUCGUCAUGGAGGCGCUAGAAGGCUGUGUUUGCAAUAGUGGGUCAUUUAUUUUAAUUUGAAAAACAAGAAAAAGAGUCAGUGGUUAAGUGAAUACCGUUCGGAUUUUGGGUCAAAAUUGGUAUAUAGGGGACGAAAUCUGUCAUUUUGUUUUUGGUUUUGUAUUACGUUUGAUUAGAGUAUAUGGGUCAUUUAAUUUUCGAGUCUGUAUUUCAUCGUUAAGUUGAUCAGUUUUGUUGUUAUUAUGAAAAUGGAAAAUAUUUUAUUGUUUUUUACCUUUUAUCUGCAAGAACUACGCACGGUCUGGUUCAUGCGAGGUAAUGAUACGUAGGCAAUCUCCAUUAGAUUCGACCACAACUAAAAAAAUGAAAAAAUAAAAAACGGAAAAGAAAAAUUGAAUAAAAAAAUGGAAAAGAUAUUGUUAAUAAUGAGGAUCGACUCAAUCCUUCUAAAUGUUUUGUUUUGAAUUGUGAAGAAAGUUGAGGUGGUUGGUUUGUGGUAAGCUGGAAACACAAGAUCCAAGGAAAAUGAUAACUGACAUCGAAGCUGUUACGAGUGCUCAAGAGACUCAAGGUCAAAGGGUUCAACAUGGGUCUACUGUGGUUGAUGAAAAUAGAACUAAUGAAAAUCAGAACUGACAUCGAAACUGUUACGAGUGCUCAAGAGACUCAGGGUCAGAGGGUUCAACAAGGAUCUACCGUGGUUGAGGAAAAUAGAACCCCAAAACAACAAAUGACCAAAAUGCGUCAAGCUUGGGCCAAUGGCCAAGGACAGCCUUGUCACGAGUCACGAUUUGCUACACAGCAAAAACAAUACCACUUUCCCGAGUACCACUCGUACUCGUUUGAGCUUCCUGCAAAUAUCGCGAAGCCUGCCCGAAAGAUAUUACAGGAAGAAAUAACCCAAAGAGUGAAAAGAUUAGAACAACAGCUGAAAAACACGCAAGCAAUGGCAGGUCAAAAGGGUGUUGCCUUCAGAGAUCUAUGCAUGUUCCCCGAUGUCCACUUGCUGCCUGGUUUCAAGGUUCCCAAAUUUGAAAAGUACAAUAGACAUGGAGACCCCGUCGCCCACCUAAAAAGUUGUUGCAACCAAUUGAGAGGUGUGGGAAAAAUGAAGAAUUACAUAUAGCUUAUUUUUGGGAAAGCCUCUCGGGAUUAGCAUCUAAAUGAUUUUUGGAUCAAGACACAUCUUUCUGGUACGUAUGGGAUGACAUGGCACGGGCCUUUGUCAAACAGUUUCAAUACAACAUCGACAUCACCCCAUACCGCAUUUCCCGUUCUAACCUGAAAAAGAAACCAACUGAAAGUUUCAGGGAAUAUGCCAUCAAAUGGAGAGAACAGACAGCUAGAACUAAGACACCUAUGGAUGAACACGAGUUAAUCAUUGUCUUUCUACAGGCUCAAGAGCCAGAUUAUUUUCAACACAUGGCAUCCGCAGUGGGUAAAUCCUUCCCGGAAGCAGUAAAAAUGGGAGAAAUAGUGGAGAACGGUCUUAAGACAAGUAGAACUAUAAGUCAAACAGCUCUCAAAGCUGUAGCUUAGGUUGUCCAAAUUGAAUGUGGUAACACGAGUGAGAGGGAUGAAGAAAUCAUGAUGAUAUCAGGGUCGAGAAGAGGUCCUAGGAGAACAUCUCGAAGGUAUGUGCAUGUCACGACCCAAAAUCUAACCAUGGCCGUGAUGGAGCCUACCAUGUAACAAGGCAAGCCAAUUCCCAAAAUAUUACUACAAAUUUGAUUAUAAAUUAUUAUGACGCCAUUAAGCAUUACUAUCCACCUCAGAACCUAGCAUACUCUGUUGAUCCGCCCCAGUAUGUUGUCCAGCCAUCAAAUCACCCAAGAGAGCGAGCACGAGUAUCAUGAAAUCUCCAUAUGCCUCCGCAAAAUUUUCAAGUACCUUAUAACCCACAUCCAAGCCAGGGGUAAAGAAGGUAAUAAAAGUUGAAAGAUAGUUUUACACCAAUAAGAGAGUCAUAUGCAAGCUUAUUUGAGAAGUUAAAACAACAUGACAUGAUUGCACCCAUUCCUCCAAAUCAGGUGGACCGGCAUGCAAGAAGCUUUGACUCAACUAAAAGGUAUGAAUACCACUCCAAUGCUCUGGGCAUGAUGUGGAAAACUGUGAGAAGCUUUGACCCAUCUAAAAGGUUUGAAUACCACUCCAAUGCUCUGGGAACAAUGUGGCAAAUUGUCGGGAUUUGAAAAGAAAAAUAGAAAGAAUGAUUCAAGAAGGGGUAAUUGUAGUUAAUGACAGUGACAGAGAGCAUGCGAAUCCUCUUGGGAACUUGUUGAUUGAAGUUGAAAAUACUGAUGCAAAUAGUGGUCAUGGCAAUAUAGAUGCGAAGCUUAGUAGCUAAGAUGCUAUGCUUGGUAAUUGGAAAGACGCUCCAUUCCUAAGUCAGCCGGGGAAGAGCUUUGGUGGUCCAUUUUACUGUCAUUUCUGUUGUCCGGUUAUUUGCACGGUUGUAAUCCAGAUAUUGUCUUGUGAUCAAUCCUUUCAUUUUUGUCAAGUUUGUUUAGUUGUAGUGUAUUGUUAAGGUUGUCCAGGUCUGUUUCAGUUCAUUCUAGGGUUGUACUCCAGUUUUUUUACUUUGUUUCGUUAUUCGAACUAUUUCAUCGUUUGUCUAAUGCAAAUUCCGAUCUUUUGUUACUCCCGAUCAUUUUCUUUGUUUAGUUCUUUUCUAUUCUUUUGCUUUGUCUUUUAUCUAAUGCUGGUUCUAGUGACAUGACAUGAACAUAUAAUUCUCAGUCGGAUCUUUAAAAGCGAUGUUAGUCGGGAAGCAAUGAAAAUACUUUGAAAACGAUGGGGCACUUGAGGAAAUAAAAACAUAUUUGGACGUUUAAGAUUUUUUGACGCCUGAACCCUGUGAAACUGGGUCAAAUAGAACAUAAAAAAUCCCCGUAAAAUCAAGUUGGCCAAAUUGACAGGGGGUCGAUCGUGAAUAAGAGUAAGAGUAUUGCCCUAUGGAACAUUAUAUCUGACAGAUGUAGAAGGAAAAUGCGUAGAAAUGGUCAUCAAAUCCGAUGAGGUAAAGAGAUGAUGUGUAUGGUUUCUUUAAUCUGAUUGUACUUGUUUGUACUUGGCAUAUUUUGAAGUUUGAAAUGACGAAGGCGUUUGUUCUUCUAUCUAAAAAUUUUAUCUUUUAGACACCCUCUUUGAGUCUUAUUUGUUUUCUUUCAUACCCGUCAUUCGGAAUCAACGUGACAAUCAAAGAAACCUAGGUGCCGGAAAUAAUAAAUGGGAAAACAACGAAAAAGAAACGGAAGGAAAGGAAAAAGAAGAAGAAGAAAAAGGAAGAAGAUAAAAAAAGAAAAAGGAAGAAAAGGAAGGAAAAGAAAAGAAAAAGAAAAGAAAACAAAAGAAAGAAAGAGAAGAAAGAAGAAAAAAAAAAUGAAGAAAAGAAAGGAAAAAAAAGAAAAACAAAAAGAAAAGAAGAGAAAGAAGAUCACAACAACGCAAUUUAUAUGAUACCGAAAGGGUACGUAGGCGGUCUAUCUGAUGUUCAGUCAUACCAAAAUAAAAUCCAAAAGUCUCCAAGCAAGAAACUAGGACAGGAGUUGUGAUUGUUGAAAGAAAUCGGAUUUCGAAGUUGUAGUUUCAUCCACAUUUUGAAUUGUUUUGAGCCUUUAUAUCCUUUCUUUCUAACCCUAAUCCAAAAUCCCACAUAACAGUCCAAAGGAAGACCUUCUGAUCAGUCUUUGAGAUAUGCCACGUCAAGCAGGUGCCUGUAAUUCGUGUCUGGGGCAACACUCCGGUCCAACAAGGAAAGUAAGAAUGAAAUAGUUAGUAAUGGAAAUCUCAUGGGUAUCGUAGGGCAACGAAAGCUGAGAGAAAUAAAAUGAGAGAGUCUUAUUGGUGAAAACCUUCACAUGCACCUUGAGGCGACGGCAAGUUGAGAUAAAGAACAAAUGAGAUAGGUUAGAUGGUGAAAACCCUUAGGCACUACAAGCCGAAUAAGGAUAGCGAAUCAAAUUGGAUAAGCGGAGCAUACCCAACUUCACGGCGAAAAGGUACAAUAAGAGUUGAACAUCAAAGUUGUUUAACAGAAUAGGUCGCAGGUGCAUGUCAAGGUCAUUAGAGUCGGCAUCCACAUCCCAUAGGUUUCUACUUUGUAGUUUACUUGUUAGGAAUCAUCUCUUUCUAUUGUCCUUUACUCUGUUUCUUUUGUCUUGUUUACUUCCUCUUCCUGAGUCUUUUUUUUAGUUAUAACAAGUGAGAAAUGAUUUCAAAAUUUGCCACCAGCUUUCUAAUUGCACAAAAUGGGGUCUGUCUAGCAUAUCAAAGCACCACAAGUUAAGAAAAACAACAAGAGCAUUGGGCUGGUAAUACCCAACAUGCUUUGGGGUGAGGCACAAGGAUUGGUUAAAGUCAGUACAGAAGCAGUGCAAAAAAUAGAAGGUAGAAGAUUUUGAAUGCAGCAGAGGUGUGUCCUGUGAUAAGGGUGACAAAAGAGGUGGUUAGUCCAGAAACAAGCGGGGUUUUCAAAUGAAAAUGAAAGUUAUCGGCAAGUAAGGGAGCAACAGACCUCAUGUCCAAGGCCAUCAGAUAAGCUAAGAGACAUCAACAUACUGUGGGGGGCAACAAACGUGCUUUGGGAUCCUUAUGAAACACAAAGGUUUGGUACAUUAGGUAUAUUCCGUGGUAAGAUUGACAAAAUUGGUUAACCAAUGACCAGAAAGAUCUUCAAGAAGAAUUAGCUGUCAAGAAACAUAUGGGGCCAGAUAAGAAGAUUAGAAGUAAUAAUUAAGAGGUAGUCGUCAAGAAGGGUGGAAGUUAUCAAACAAGCUCCAAAGAUGGCCUGACAACGCGGAGCAUGGAAUGGUGAAAAGGAAAGUCAUCCCAACGGGAGUACCACAACCAACCAUCGCACUUUAAACUGACAGAAUUUUCUUUGAUUUGAAUCAGGAGUAUGGAAAUUUUAUUGAUGGCAGAAAGAUAUGCUACAGGAGGAUUAUCAAACUGAGGCAGAAAAUUUUCUGUCGUGUUGAAAAUUUUCUUGAAUUCGGUGUACCCAUCUGAAGAACAAAAAGGUCAAUACAAGUUUUUUUUUUUAAAAAGGAAAAAGAGAGGGAAGUAGUUUUCAAGAAAGAAACACCAUUUUCAAGAAAAGUAAUUUUCGGAGGAAUGAAACGCCAGUUUUUAGGGAAGUGGUUCUUAAGGAGAAUAAUUCAAUUUAGAAGGUAGUUAAAACAAGUUCGGAGGAAAUGGUUAAAAGAAAGAUGUUAGUCUGAUGAAUUUUUCACCUAAGAUGAAGAAAUAUUAGUCUAUUGAAUCUUUCACCUAGAUAAAAAUAUAAGUCUCAUCAAUCUUUCACCUAAGAUAAAGGCAGAAGUUGGAAAAAUGAAAGGAAAGCAUAAUUUGGAAAAAUGGGAAGGAAGAAGUUGGAAAAAAGAAAGGAAGGUAUAAUUUGGAAAAAGAAAGGAAGGCAGAAUUUGAAAAAAUAAAAAAGAAAGGAAGUUUGAAUUUGAAAGAUUAAGAAGGUAUGGAUUCGAAAAAUUGGACCUAGUUUGAUUAUUUAUCUCUAAGAUAAAAAUCUUAGUCUGUUGAAUCUUUUACCUAAGAUAGAAAUCUUAGUCUGAUAAAUUUUUCACCUAAGAUAAAAAUCAUAGUCUGUUGAAUCAUUCACCUAAGAUAAAGAUAAAAAUCUUAGGCUGAUGAAUUUUUCACCUAAGAUAAAAAUCUUAGUCUAUUAAAUCUUUCACCUAAGACAAAAAUCUUAGUCUGAUGAAUUUUUUACCUAAGAUAAAGAUAAAAAUCUUAGUAUGUUGAAUCUUUCACUUAAGAUAAAAAUCUUAGUUUGAUGAAUUUUUCACCUAGGAUAAUUUGAAGUUGGGAGCCCGUCCAUAUAACAGAGGAAUACAUUUCAGUCUUUAUAUUUUGAAUUUCGAAACAUUUCAGUAUUUAAAUUUUCAGGUUUUGAGGCUGGAAGCCCGUUCAUAUAAUAGAGGAAUGCAUUUAGUCUUUAAAUUUUAAGUUUUGAUGCAUUUCAAUCUUCAAAUUUUAUGUUUUGAAACAUUUCAGUCUUUAAAUUUUGAAUUUUGAAUUUUGAAACAAUUUAGUAUUUAAAUUUUCAAGUUUGAGGUUGGGAGCCCGCUCAUAUAACAGAGGAAUACAUUUAAGUCUUUAAAUUUUAAAUUUUAAAACAUUUCAGUCUUUAAAUUUUCAAGUUUUGGGGUUGGGAGCCCGUCCAUAUAACAGAGGAAUGCAUUUCAGUCUUUAAAUUUUAAAGUUACAUUUCAGCCUUUACACUUUAAGCUUUGUAUAUGGUAACAAGCACCUAGUUUUCCAAACUGGGGCAGAAAAUUUUCUUUGUUCUAUUUUUGAAAAGUUGGGAGCCCGCCCAUAUAACAGAAAAAUACAUUCAAGUCCAGCAAUUUAAAGAGAAGGAACAAUAUCUCAGUUGACCAGUGAAGUAACAACAAUGGUUUCACCAAGAGAAUACAAGACAACAAGGAAGUACAAGAACAAGUUUGAAGAAUUUAGAUAUGAUCUUCUAAUUCAUAGUUCAUAACUUAUCUAGCUUCUUUUAUUAUGCCAUGGUGUAAUAAGGAAGGUCAGCAAGCAGUAGCAGCAGCAAUCGCAGUGAAAUCACAGCUCCUGGUACUCCCAGCUACCAGACACUUCCGAACUACACUGAGCUGAUUUUUGUUUAGCCCAGGAUAUGUAAACAACCUCCGAAGCAGAAAGCUGUCAACUCUUUAAAAUGCUUCAUAUGGAAUAUUUAAACAGGCAAAAAUCGCUCGUAUUUGCUCACUUAUCUUUGCAUGAAAACCAUUCAUGUUUUCGAGCAAAGAGGGGCAGUUGUGAGCACGUGAUUUUUUUCCUAUAUAUGAAUUAUUCCCAAAAACUCAAACAAAAUAAUUUCUUUAUUAUUUGUGCAUUUAAAUCAUAUGGAAAAUACAAAAAAAAUACAUUUAGCAUUUGCAUUUAGGGUUUAAUUUUAUAUUUUAGGAUUAAUUAGUGAUUAACUUUUUUUAGAAUAAAAUACUAUAAUAAAAGUGGUCCUUGUUGCAUUUUUAGUUUAAAUUUAUCUUAGUUUGCAUUUAAAUUAGGAAUUAGUGUAUGGGAAAUUAGGAAAUCUAAAUUUUAAUGUUAAUUUGAUAUUAAGUUUUAAUUUAGAAUUUAAAUAAAAUAAAAAAAUAUAAAAUACAAAAGGAAAACAAAAUAAAUUAAAGCAAUAAAAGUAGUAAUUACAAAAUGAAAAAGAACAAAAGGAAAAGAAUUGCUUAUUAAAGGACCAAUUUUUUGGGCCAUUUUAUUUGAAUAAGAUUAGGCCCAAAUUAUCCCCUCGAAUAUUCGACCCAGUAGCUGCCCAAACCCGUCUGACCCUCUUCCCCCUUUAAUUAAAAAAGAGCACGCAAAAAUUGGUAGGACACGAAAUAAAGAAAUCGGAAAAAACCCUCCUUUCUCUGAAGAACAGGCACGGAAAAUACGUGACCCUUUUUCCCUAUUUCUUUUCGAUCCGAGCACCUCUAUUAUCUCCAUAUAAAAUCAGCCAUAACACACACACACACACUAAGGAAUCCACACCAAAACAAACCCCCUAAAUUCUAGCUUUCUACACUAGAUCUGAAGAAGAAAAAAAAAACAAAAAAAAAAGGGAUUUAAAAGGCUUUCUGAUUUUCUGUUGGGUUUACUAGGAGAAUUUUUGGGAUUCUCAGCUGUUUUUGGAUUGAAGUAAAGGUCAACAUUGAUGUUCUUCUGCUGUUUGCUAUCAAAAUUGUAGCCGAAUUUCCUUCAUCUCCAUUUUUCCCUUUUAUCAGCUGUUUCAAGCUCUAUUUCUCGAGUAUUUUAGCCGCUCUUGCUGGGUUUUGCUGAGGUAUUUUGAUGUCUAUUACUAUUGUUGCUAUUCCUUGCGAUUAGCUGCUUGUUUCAACUUGUAGCUGUGCUUUUCGGCCUUACUUGGCUAUUUGAAAUUUUGUCGCUGUGGUUAAGCUACUGUUUCCCUUCUCGGUCAUGUAAUUUUCAUUUUUGGUUCAAUGAAAUAUGUUUACAAUGAUGUGGUAGUGCAUAAUUAUAUGCUUCUUUGUUAUUUUUAGCAGUUCAUAUUAUUGUGUUGUGUUAUGUCAUUAAUUGAUCGUAUGUGGCUGCUGAUGUAUGUCCAUUUUUAUUCAUAUUUUAUGAAUACAGUUAAUGCCAUCAUGUUUGGUUGAGAUAUAGAUGUAUAGAUUUUGGUGUUUUUUCUUAGAAUCAGUAAAAUACUAAAUCGGUGCUUGCUUUGUUGCUGUUGUUUGCUGGA